rnacentral:rRNA from 1 species
AGAACGAACGCUGGCGGCAUGCCUAAUACAUGCAAGUCGAACGAACUCUUCGGAGUUAGUGGCGCACGGGUGCGUAACGCGUGGGAAUCUGCCCCUUGGUUCGGAAUAACAGUUGGAAACGACUGCUAAUACCGGAUGAUGACGAAAGUCCAAAGAUUUAUCGCCAAGGGAUGAGCCCGCGUAGGAUUAGCUAGUUGGUGAGGUAAGGCUCAC